rnacentral:rRNA from 1 species
GAUAAACGCUGGCGGCGUGCCUAAUGCAUGCAAGUCGAACUGGAGCGGCUUCGGCCGUCGACCGUGGCGGACGGGUGAGGAGCACGUAGCUGACCUGCCCCGACCCGGGGGAUAGUCGCCGGAAACGGCGCGCAAUACCCCAUGGCGUCACCUGGAGGGAUCUGGGGGACGAAAGGUUGGAAGACCGGGUUGGGAGGGGGCUGCGGCGGAUUAGCUGGAUGGCGGGGUAACGGCCCACCAUGGCGAUGAUCCGUAGCUGGUCUGAGAGGACGAUCAGCCACACGGGGACUGAGACACGGCCCCGACUCCUACGGGAGGCAGCAGCAAGGAAUUUUCCACAAUGGGCGCAAGCCUGAUGGAGCAACGCCGCGUGCGGGAGGACGCCCUUCGGGGUGUAAACCGCUUUUCGGGGGGACGAAGCUAAUGACGGUACCCCCGGAAGAAGGACCGGCUAACUACGUGCCAGCAGCCGCGGUAACACGUAGGGUCCGAGCGUUGUCCGGAAUUACUGGGCGUAAAGCGCGCGCAGGCGGUUGGUCGCAUCGGCGGUGAAAGCCCCCCGCUUAACGGGGGAGGGUCCGUCGUGAUGGGCUGACUGGAGGCAGGGAGAGGGCGGUGGAAUUCCGGGUGUAGUGGUGAAACGCGUAGAGAUCCGGAGGAACACCAGUGGCGAAGGCGGCCGCCUGGACCUGACCUGACGCUGAGGCGCGAAGGCGCGGGGAGCGAACGGGAUUAGAUACCCCGGUAGUCCGCGCAGUAAACGAUGCGUGCUGGGUGUGGGCGGGAGUUGACCCCCGCCGUGCCGGAGUUAACACGGUAAGCACGCCGCCUGGGGGAGUACGGCCGCAAGGCUAAAACUCAAAGGAAUUGACGGGGGCCCGCACCAGCAGCGGAGCGUGUGGUUUAAUUCGACGCAACGCGCAACACCUUACCAAGGCUUGACAUCCCAGGGACCCACUGGAAACAGCGGGGUGCCUUUCGGGGAACCUGGAGACAGGUGCUGCAUGGCUGCCGUCAGCUCGUGUCGUGAGAUGUUGGGUUAAGUCCCGCAACGAGCGCAACCCCUGUGGCCAGCUACGUGGGUGUCUGGCCAGACUGCCGGGAACAAACCGGAGGAAGGUGGGGAUGACGUCAAGUCAGCAUGGCCCUUACGCCUUGGGCGACACACACGCUACAAUGGCCGGGACAGUGGGCUGCCAAGCCGCAAGGCGGAGCCAAUCCCCCAAACCCGGCCUCAGUUCGGAUCGUGGGCUGCAACUCGCCCGCGUGAAGACGGAGUUGCUAGUAACCGCCGGUCAGCACUACGGCGGUGAAUAUGUUCCCGGGCCUUGUACACACCGCCCGUCACGUCAUGGGAGCCGGCAACACCUGAAGUCGGUGGGUGAACCUGCAAAGGACACAGCCGCCGAGGGUGGGGUUGGUGACUAGGACG